AUUCAUGAAGUUUUACGGUGGCAGAACAAAGAAAGUCGUAAACCAAGGCACUUUAAAAAAAAUAUGGAUGGAAACACCAGAGGGGAUGUGACAAACGCCUCAGCAGAGUCGGCACCUGCACCCACUUUCUGGCAGUUUCCCCAGCGUCGCCUCUGUGUUCCGAAGAAAACCAGCAAGACAGACAAGGGUACAAGGACACAAAGUUUCAUCAAGACAGGGGCCUGAGGCAGAGUCUUGCUACGUACCCCAGGCUGGCUUACGGCUUGGAGUCCUCCAGCCUCAGCCUCCUGCAUGCUGGUAUGACAGGCCUAUGCCGCCACACCCAGAUUCAACACUACAUCUUCUUGAGAAAAAGCUAAAGACAAGGCUGGGAGGGACAUGAGAAAACAGCUUACAUUGUCCUCUCGGGACUGUGUGCCGGCCAGUCUCAGCCGUUCUCCUUUGCGUGGUGUGAAUGACAUGCCAGAAAACUGUUCAGGAGCACCCUAACUAAGAGGACAUCCCUCAAACCACUGUUCUACACUAUAGACUACACAAGUGGCUGCCCAGCUGGAAGUCCCUUUAUGAUGUCCUUAGUAAACUUUUCUUUCCUA